CGUCGAAUAUUGUCUACACUGGUUCCACGACCUCUUUAUUUACAUACAGAUACAGAUACUGGAGGGAAAAAUUUCUACCGUAAACCAGUCGCCAUAUACAGUCAACUCGGCCUAAGAUUACUCGGCCCUUAAAGUAAGAAUGCACCACGUUUCAAGAUAACCCGUUUUGAAAUAAACAAUAAUUAUACUGCAUAUACAUUUUGGUUUUAUUAUAUUUUAUCAUUAAUCACAACAGAGAUCCUGAUAAAUCGUGUGCAUAGUUUAGCCUUAUCUAUUACAUAGUCGUCGCGUAAAUAGUUUAAAUUGGAAAUGUCCUUUCGUUCUAAAAAUAGAGCGUUGAAAGGUUCCCUGUUGAAAUUUUCCUUUACUCCAAAGGUACACGUGGUGAUGAAAAACUUUUCGAACUUCUCUUCUCUGUCUUUAUCGAAUUAGCGUUUGUCAUGUCGUCAUAAUUCAUUUUGUAUUGCUCGGGACUUAUCAUUCCAGUUGCAAUGGAC
rnacentral:lncRNA from 1 species